rnacentral:rRNA from 1 species
GACGAACGCUGGCGGCGUGCCUAAUACAUGCAAGUAGAACGCACAGUUUAUACCGUAGCUUGCUACACCAUACACUGUGAGUUGCGAACGGGUGAGUAACGCGUAGGUAACCUGCCUGGUAGCGGGGGAUAACUAUUGGAAACGAUAGCUAAUACCGCAUAAUAUUGAUUAUUGCAUGAUAAUUAAUUGAAAGGUGCAAUUGCAUCACUACCAGAUGGACCUGCGUUGUAUUAGCUAGUAGGUGAGGUAACGGCUCACCUAGGCGACGAUACAUAGCCGACCUGAGAGGGGGAUCGGCCACACUGGGACUGAGACACGGCCCAGACUCCUACGGGAGGCAGCAGUAGGGAAUCUGCGGCAAUGGACGAAAGUCUGACCGAGCAACGCCGCGUGAGUGAAGAAGGUUUUCGGAUCGUAAAGCUCUGUUGUAAGAGAAGAACGGGUGUGAGAGUGGAAAGUUCACACUGUGACGGUAUCUUACCAGAAAGGGACGGCUAACUACG